rnacentral:rRNA from 1 species
GACGAACCAUGCAAACGUUAUUCGGAUUCACUGGGCUUAAAGCGUGCGUAGGCGGUCUUGUUAGUCAGGUGUGAAAGCCCUCAGCUCAACUGAGGAAUUGCGCUUGAUACUGCAUGACUAGAGAAUGAUAGAGGUGGGUGGAACUGAUGGUGGAGCGGUGAAAUGCGUAGAUAUGCGGAGGAACACCGAUGGCGAAGGCAAUCCCCUGGGCCUGUACUGACGCUCAUGCACGAAAGCGUGGGGAGCAAACAGG